GCUUGCAUUGCUCUGUCAUCGAACGAUGUGGGACUAAACAGAAAACAACAAAAACAGCCAGCGCCCGGGCCCAGCACGCCAUGUUGUCUAUCUAUUCAGUUGGUUUGGGCUGCAACAGAAGCAAGCUCACCAACAUAGAGGGGAUGAGCUAAAUAAAAAAGGGAAUAAAAAAACAUAGAUGGGCUAAUUCACGUGAAGUGCUCACGCAGCAGUUUGGGUCACAGCCGAAGGGUACAUGCAGAUCCAGAUUC
rnacentral:lncRNA from 1 species